rnacentral:rRNA from 1 species
GAUGAACGCUGGCGGCGUGCCUAAUACAUGCAAGUCGAGCGAACGGACGAGAAGCUUGCUUCUCUGAUGUUAGCGGCGGACGGGUGAGUAACACGUGGAUACCUACCUAUAAGACUGGGAUAACUUCGGGAAACCGUAGCUAAUACCGGAUAAUAUUUUGAACCGCAUGGUUCAAAAGUGAAAGACGGUCUUGCUGUCACUUAUAGAUGGAUCCGCGCUGCAUUAGCUAGUUGGUAAGGUAACGGCUUACCAAGGCAACGAUGCAUAGCCGACCUGAGAGGGUGAUCGGCCACACUGGAACUGAGACAAGGUCCAGACUCCUACGGGAGGCAGCAGUAGGGAAUCUUCCGCAAUGGGCGAAAGCCUGACGGAGCAACGCCGCGUGAGUGAUGAAGGUCUUCGGAUCGUAAAACUCUGUUAUUAGGGAAGAACAUAUGUGUAAGUAACUGUGCACAUCUUGACGGUACCUAAUCAGAAAGCCACGGCUAACUACGUG